UACGUAGGGUGCAAGCGUUAAUCGGAAUUACUGGGCGUAAAGCGCGCGUAGGCGGACCUGCAAGUCGGGGUGAAAGCCCGAGGCUCAACCUCGGAACUGCCUUCGAUACUGCGGGUCUCGAGUCCGGAGAGGUGAGUGGAAUUCCUAGUGUAGAGGUGAAAUUCGUAGAUAUUAGGAAGAACACCAGUGGCGAAGGCGGCUCACUGGCCCGGUACUGACGCUGAGGCGCGAAAGCGUGGGAGCAAACAGG
rnacentral:rRNA from 1 species